rnacentral:rRNA from 1 species
CGACGAACUUCUUUAUCACCGAGUGCUUGCACUCACCGGUAAAGGGUUUAGUGGCGAACGGGUGAGUAACACGUGGGCAACCUGCCCAAAAGAGGGGGAUAACACUUGGAAACAGGUGCUAAUACCGCAUAACCAUAGUUACCGCAUGGUAGCUAUGUAAAAGGUGGCUAUGCUACCGCUUUUGGAUGGGCCCGCGGCGCAUUAGCUAGUUGGUGGGGUAAAGGCUUACCAAGGCAAUGAUGCGUAGCCGAACUGAGAGGUUGAUCGGCCACAUUGGGACUGAGACACGGCCCAAACUCCUACGGGAGGCAGCAGUAGGGAAUCUUCCACAAUGGGCGAAAGCCUGAUGGAGCAACGCCGCGUGGGUGAAGAAGGUCUUCGGAUCGUAAAACCCUGUUGUUAGAGAAGAAAGUGCGUGAGAGUAACUGUUCACGUUUCGACGGUAUCUAACCAGAAAGCCACGGCUAACUACGUGCCAGCAGCCGCGGUAAUACGUAGGUGGCAAGCGUUAUCCGGAUUUAUUGGGCGUAAAGGGAACGCAGGCGGUCUUUUAAGUCUGAUGUGAAAGCCUUCGGCUUAACCGGAGUAGUGCAUUGGAAACUGGGAGACUUGAGUGCAGAAGAGGAGAGUGGAACUCCAUGUGUAGCGGUGAAAUGCGUAGAUAUAUGGAAGAACACCAGUGGCGAAAGCGGCUCUCUGGUCUGUAACUGACGCUGAGGUUCGAAAGCGUGGGUAGCAAACAGGAUUAGAUACCCUGGUAGUCCACGCCGUAAACGAUGAAUGCUAAGUGUUGGAGGGUUUC